rnacentral:rRNA from 1 species
AGUCUGAUCCAGCCAUGCCGCGUGCGUGAUGAAUGCCCUAUGGGUGGAAAGCUGUUCUUUUCAGGGGAAAAAAACGACCUUACCUGUAAAGGAAUGACGGGACUGUACCAAUAAAGACCGGCUAACUCCAUG